rnacentral:rRNA from 1 species
CCUACGGGAGGCAGCAGUGGGGAAUUUUGGACAAUGGGGGCAACCCUGAUCCAGCCAUUCCGCGUGAGUGAAGAAGGCCUUCGGGUUGUAAAGCUCUUUCGCAAGGGAAGAAAACUUAUGAUCGAAUAAAUCAUGAGGUUGACGGUACCUUGAUAAGAAGCACCGGCUAACUACGUGCCAGCAGCCGCGGUAAUACGUAGGGUGCGAGCGUUAAUCGGAAUUACUGGGCGUAAAGCGUGCGCAGGCGGUUUUGUAAGUCGGAUGUGAAAUCCCCGGGCUCAACCUGGGAACUGCGUUCGAAACUGCAAGGCUAGAGUGUGUCAGAGGGGGGUAGAAUUCCACGUGUAGCAGUGAAAUGCGUAGAGAUGUGGAGGAAUACCAAUGGCGAAGGCAGCCCCCUGGGAUAACACUGACGCUCAUGCACGAAAGCGUGGGGAGCAAACAGGAUUAGAUACCCUGGUAGUCCACGCCCUAAACGAUGUCAACUAGUUGUUGGUAGAGUAAACUCUAUGAGUAACGUAGCUAACGCGUGAAGUUCGACCGCCGUGGGGAGGUACGGUCGCGAGAAGUUAAAACGUUAAAAGGUAAAGUUAGUACGGCGUGAGACGUCGCCGACGGACGACGACGAGGGAGGUUAGG